rnacentral:rRNA from 1 species
AGUGAACGCUGGCGGCAGGCCUAACACAUGCAAGUCGAACGGCAGCACAGUAAGAGCUUGCUCUUACGGGUGGCGAGUGGCGGACGGGUGAGGUAUACAUCGGAAUCUACUUUUUCGUGGGGGAUAACGUAGGGAAACUUACGCCAAUACCGCAUACGAUCUACGGGUGAAAGCAGUGGAUCUUCGGACCUUGCGCGAUUGAAUGAGCCGAUGUCGGAUUAGCUAGUUGGCGGGUAAAGGCCCACCAAGGCGACGAUCCGUAGCUGGUCUGAGAGGAUGAUCAGCCACACUGGAACUGAGACACGGUCCAGACUCCUACGGGAGGCAGCAGUGGGGAAUAUUGGACAAUGGGGGCAAGCCUGAUCCAGCCAUACCGCGUGGGUGAAGAAGGCCUUCGGGUUGUAAAGCCCUUUUGUUGGGAAAGAAAAGCAGCAGGUUAAUACCCCGCUGUUCUGACGGUACCCAAAGAAUAAGCACCGGCUAACUUCGUG